CUGACCGUAGUUCAGCUGGACAGAACAACUGCCUUCUAAGCAGUGGGUCGGGGGUUCGAGUCCCUCCGGUCAGGCCA
rnacentral:tRNA from 1 species